rnacentral:rRNA from 1 species
AUUGAACGCUGGCGGCAGGCCUAACACAUGCAAGUCGAGCGACCGGCGGACGGGUGAGUAAUGUCUGGGAAACUGCCUGAUGGAGGGGGAGAACUACUGGAAACGGUAGCUAAUACCGCAUACCAUCAGAUCUGCCCAGGUGGGAUUAGCUAGUUGGUGGGGUAAUGGCUCACCUAGGCGACGAUCCCUAGCUGGUCUGAGAGGAUGACCAGCCACACUGGAACUGAGACACGGUCCAGACUCCUACGGGAGGCAGCAGUGGGGAAUAUUGGACAAUGGGCGAAAGCCUGAUGCAGCCAUGCCGCGUGUGUGAAGAAGGCCUUCGGAUUGUAAAGCACUUUCAGCUGGGAGGCGUUACCAACAGAAGAAGCACCGGCUAACUCCGUGCCAGCAGCCGCGGUAAUAC